UACGAAGGGGGCUAGCGUUGUUCGGAAUCACUGGGCGUAAAGGGCGCGUAGGCGGCCGAUCAAGUCGGGGGUGAAAGCCUGUGGCUCAACCACAGAAUUGCCUUCGAUACUGUUUGGCUUGAGACCGGAAGAGGUUAGUGGAACUGCGAGUGUAGAGGUGAAAUUCGUAGAUAUUCGCAAGAACACCAGUGGCGAAGGCGGCUGACUGGUCCGGUUCUGAUGCUGAGGCGCGAAAGCGUGGGGAGCAAACAGG
rnacentral:rRNA from 1 species